rnacentral:tRNA from 1 species
GCCUGGGUGGCCCAGUUGGUUAAGCAUCUGACUUCUGCUCAGGUCAUGAUCUCACGGUUCAUGGGUUCAAGCCCCAUGUCAGGCU